rnacentral:rRNA from 1 species
GGAGUUUGGACCGUGUCUCAGUUCCAAUGUGGGGGAUCCUCCUCUCAGAGCCCCUACCGAUCGUCGCCUUGGUGGGCCGUUACCCCGCCAACAAGCUAAUCGGACGCAUCCUCAUCCGUUACCGAUGAAUCUUUAUUCCGUAGGUCAUGCGGCUUACGGAAACCAUCGGGUAUUAAUCUUUCUUUCGAAAGGCUAUCCCCGAGUAACGGGCAGAUUGGAUACGUGUUACGCACCCGUGCGCCGGUCGCCAUCAAAGUCAGCAAGCUGACUCCAUGCUGCCCCUCGACUUGCAUGUGUUAAGCCUGUAGCUAGCGUUCAUC